CUAGUUGCAUGAACAAUGGGAGAAGUAGAAGGGACUGAAAUAGUCAUAAAAUCACUGCUUAGAGAAAACUGCAAUGAAGACUAUAAGAAAGCCAUGCUAGGUUUGCCUAGGGAUGCUACCUUCCAGGAAAUGAUAAGGAGAUGUGAAAAGGUAGGGACUCAGUGUUUCCACUUUGAGUUGAUGAAUCAAUUUUUAUCAGAGCAUAAGUCAGGGGGAAAAACAGGGAAAGCAUGCUAUCAAUGCGGGAGAGAGGGGCACUUUAAGAAAGACUGCAAGUCAAACAAAAGGCACCCUACCACACCCUGUCCAAAAUUCAAGAAACCAGGGCACUGGGCCUCUGAAUGCAGGUCGGGAAAUGGGUGCAGGGAUUCUGUGGGAGCCCCAAACACUCGUCCCAUGGGAAUGACAGUACAGGAAUCAACUCCUCUCCCAAACAAAUGGGGAAAGAAAUACAUGACUCUAGCUGCCCAAGAAAAACAAUUAGAGUAUUGAAACUGAGAAGCUUAGAUAAUUUUAGACUGCCACCCCAUGCUGUCUGUAAUGUCCCACUCACAGACCAAGAGGAAUUAGGGCCAGAAUUUUCCCUGAUUACCAUAUCACCCCCAUAUCAGUACUACUCACAUGCAGUCCCAGUUAUUCAAAUGUAUAAAGGUUCCCUCUCUCACCUCACCAUGAUUAACACUAACAAUGAUGAUACCUAUAUAGAAAGGGGACAGUGUGUGGCUCAAGCCAUUGCCAUCACUGCAGAAUUCCACAUAGAAGACCCUACCAUAGUAAAAGGCCCACAGAUGGGCUGGAGGUCAGGAGUGUUUUUUACACAAGCCAUCUCCAUGGACUGCCCCCUAUGUGCUAUCAGUGUAGAGAAACAGAAAUUUACAGGGUUAAUUGAUACUGGGGCUGAUAAAUCAGUAUUCCCCGCAGACCAGUGGCCACCUUGGUGGCCUAAGGAAUUGGCUUAUACCUUUCUACGAGGUAUAGGAGGCAAUCAAGAAACAGAAAUCUCUACCAGUCUCCUCACUUGGGAAAAGGACAAUAAAAAUGGCACAUUCCAUCCGUAUAUCACAGCAGGAUUACCUCGUAUUUUAUGGGAAUGUG
rnacentral:lncRNA from 1 species